rnacentral:rRNA from 1 species
UACGUAGGGUGCGAGCGUUGUCCGGGAUUAUUGGGCGUAAAGGGCUCGUAGGCGGUUUGUCGCGUCGGGAGUGAAAACUCAGGGCUUAACCCUGAGCCUGCUUCCGAUACGGGCAGACUAGAGGUAUGCAGGGGAGAACGGAAUUCCUGGUGUAGCGGUGAAAUGCGCAGAUAUCAGGAGGAACACCGGUGGCGAAGGCGGUUCUCUGGGCCGAUACUGACGCUGAGGAGCGAAAGCGUGGGGAGCGAACAGG